rnacentral:rRNA from 1 species
UACGUAGGGUGCGAGCGUUAAUCGGAAUUACUGGGCGUAAAGCGUGCGCAGGCGGGCUUUUAAGCCAGACGUGAAAUCCCCGGGCUUAACCUGGGAAUGGCGUUUGGGACUGGGAGUCUGGAGUGCGGCAGAGGAGACUGGAAUUCCUGGUGUAGCAGUGAAAUGCGUAGAUAUCGAGAGGAACACCUGCGGCGAAGGCGGGUUGCUGGGCUGACACUGACGCUGAGGCGCGAAAGCCAGGGGAGCGAACGGG